AUAUCCAUCACGAAUAACUUUUUUUCUGGAAAAUUCUCACCAAAAUGCUUUUGUACGCUUGUAAACAAUAUAAUGAGCUGUCACUGGAAUAAUUUUAACAGCUGUCGGACAAUUGGCUUAGAAAUGACAGCAGUCUGAAGUUGGUUGCAGUUUUUUUCAUGUUAUGUCUAAAAUGAUUAUUUUGAUGAGUUACAAACGGAAUGACGAACUUAAUACACCCUCCACACUAUAUAUGGUAGAGGGUAUAAAUACGGCACUCGUGAACCACUCUACCAACCCAACUCACAAUCCAGACUUUGAGUAUGUGAAAGUAUCAAAGAGUGAAGCACAUCUCAGCAAACGGUACACAAUGGCCAUGAUGUGCCAUUCUCAAUGUGCCAGUCAAGUAGUUACGAAAUAUCGAGAGAAUUGAAGAAAAUAUUUAUAAUAAUCUGACCUCGAGCUCAAAGAAUUAUUCAAUUAAUUAACACCUUUUUCCUUGCACUGGCGCUUCUUCUAGUUACAAUUCUGGUUUGCCCUCUCAUGUUCUAUUUCUUUUAAAAUUCAUAACUCUCUUUCUCUCUCUCUCACUGCUGUGUGAUUGUUACUUUGCUUGCUCUAAUCAUAGGUAUACUAGUGGCAACGGUAUUGCCAAUGUUUCUACAAUUAGCAUAACAAGAGAAAGAGAGUAACUAUGGGAGAAGAAUAAUAAGGAACAGAGUUUAUGUGGGGUAUGUUCAGUGAAAUUUAAUGUAGUGUUUCUCACAUAAUCACGGUAUUUUUGCAGAAGUAUUUAAAAGACUUCAAUUUUAGGGGCUAGCAGUCCGCUCGCCAUUACAAUUUAAUACCCAUCCAAAUGUAUGCCAAUAGGAAAAAAUGAAAUAACAGUGGUUUAUAGCAUGCCUCUCUCUUUUUUAAAGCAAAAUUUUAUUCUGUGAAGUGUUUUUGAAAGUGCAAGUUGUGAAUAUUGAAAAAAAGUUAAUAAAAUAAAUUAAUAAAAUAAGAAUAUAGUAAGUGUUGUGUGUUAGAAAAGUUAAAUAAAAUGUCAGGAUUCAGUAGGAGAAAUUUAAGACGAUUAAAGAAAGUGGAAGCAGACAAGUUAAAAAGAAAUGCACAGUUGAGGACGGUCUAUUUGGAAAACAAUGAUAUUGUACUAAAUUAGCAAAUUCCAUGCAUUCCAAAAUUGUAGAAGAUUUUGGAAAAUAUGUCAGUAUCUUAAAAAUUAUAAUUUCACCAGAUGGCCUUAUUAAAAACUUCUGCAAGAUUAUUGACAUUUCUAUAAUAUUAUCUUACAACUAUGAUGGUACCCAAAAUAAAAAGUCGUUUAAGGAAUAUAAACUUUUAAACAUGGCCAUUUUCGAAGCUGUCAUAUGUGAAGGAUUCAAUGAACAGGAUUACGCCAAAAAAAUAGAAAUUGUUUCAAAUUCCCUAAGGCCAGACACUUCCGAACCAUGUUCUACAAUAAAAAAACUAGAAAAAAUUAUUAUUUUUAUACCCUACACCACAUAGUGGUAAGGGUAUUAUGUCUUUGUGCAUUUGUUUGUAACAUAGAGAAGGAAACGAGAUAGACCCAUAGUUACUUUUGAGAACCUUCAUAGAAUCACUUUCUGAGUCGAUUUAUGCAUGUCAGUCCGUCUGUCCGUCCGUCUGUCCAUGUAUUCUUGUGAACAAAAUGCAGGUCGCAUUUAUUAUCCGAUUGAGAUGAAAUUUUCCAAACAAUAUUUUUUUGGCCCAAGGACGAACCCUAUUGAAAUUGGUGAGAAUCGGAUCAAAUUUAGAUAUAGCUCCCAUAUAUAUCUUCAUCCGAUUUCGGGUUAAAUGUGCACCAAAUGUCCACUAUCAGUCCAAAUUACUUGAAUUUUGGCACACCCAACCGAGUUCGGCCUAGAAGCAAGUAUAUAAAAAUCGGUUCAGAUAUAGCUAUAGCUCCCAUAUAUAUCUUUCAUCCGAUUUGAUCUUUAAGUCCCUCACAUUCCAACUAUGCACUCCACAACCGUGAUAUUUGGUACCAGGUAUUAGAUGGAGCACAGAAAUACCUGUUUUAAAUUUUAUCGAAAUCGGUUCAGAUUUGGAUAUAGCUUCCAUAUAUAUCUUCAUCCGAUUUCGGGUUAAUUGGCCACCAAAUGGCCAAUAUCAGCCCAAAUGGCCCGAAUUUUGCCACAUGUGACCGAGAUUAGCCUUAAAGCAAAUACAACAAAUUUGGAGAAAAUCGGUUCAGAAACAGCUAUACCUCCCAUAUAUAUAUUUUAUCCGAUUUGGUGUUUAAGCCUCUCACAUUCGUAAUAUGCACUCCACAAGAAUGAUAUUUGGUACCAGAUAAAAGAUACAGCCCAGAAAUAGCUGUUUGUAAUUUUAUCGAAAUCGGUUCAGAUUUGGAUAUAGCUCCCAUAUAUAUCUUCAUCCGAUUUCGGGUUAAUUGUGCACCAAAUGGCCGAAUUCAGUCUAGAAGCUAAUACGUCAAAUUUGGAGAAACCCGGUUCAGAGAUAGCUAUAGUUCGUAAAAUGCACAAUAGAAUUAGAUAGAUUUUGAUUUUAUACCAAAUAUCUCAUAGAGCUCUGAAAUGCCCUGUAUAAACCUUUUUACGAGAGCUCUACUAAAUAUGCAUAGUGGUGUAGGGUAUCAUAUAGUCGGCCCCGCCCGACUUUUGAGUUUUCCUUACUGGUUUUUUCCUUUAGUUUAAGCUUUGUUUUUUCCCACGUCUUUUGAAUAAGUUUUAUGAAUUUCUUUUCUAUGCAUUAUUUCUAAUUAUAAUAAGAAUAUUUUAUUGUUGAAAACACUGUUCUUUAAUACGAAUAUUUUAAUAAAAAACAGCUGAAAUUUAAGUUCCACAAUCUAAAAUGUUGAUGGAAUCGGACCCAUCCAACCUACGCUUACAAUGUUGAUAGAUUUCGGACCCAUCCAACAUUCGCUUACGUUGUCGGUCGAUUUCGGACCCAUCCAACAUUCGCUUACAUUGUCGGUAGAUUUCGGACUCGUCUGACGGCCUAGGCCAUCUCUGUGUAAAUGUAAGUAGAAAUUGUAUACAGGCUUUUGAUGAAUCGCACCUACAUUGUCAUUGGUCUCAGAUGGAAGAUGUAUGUGCUAAAAAAUCCGCUGGGAAUGGGAGGAGAAUAAUAAGGAACAGAGUUUAUGUGGGGUAUGUUCAGUAAAAUUGACUGUAGGGUUUC